rnacentral:lncRNA from 1 species
UUUUUUUUUUUUUUUUUUUUUUUUGGUUUUUAGGGAUGCACCCAUGGCAUAUGGAGGUUCCCAGGCUAGGGGUCCAAUUGGAGUUGUAUCUGCCAGCCUAUGCCACAGCCAUGGCAACUAGGGAUCCAAGCCAUGUCUGUGACCUACACCACAGCUCAUGGCAACGCCAGAUCCUUAACCCACAGAGCUAGGCCAGGGAUCAAACCUGCAUCCCCACAGACACUAGUUGGAUUCACUUCCGCUGAGCCACAACAGGAACUCCUCUUGUUCUUAUUCUUAUAAAAUGCACUCUGAGGUAUCUAAGGGUAAAUAAACAUGAUCCCUGCAAUCUGCACUUAAAGGAUAUGUGAAAAAAUUAUAUUUCUAUUUAAACAUCUCUAUCCUUCUAGGCACAUAUAUAACAUAUAUUUAUAUGUGUACAUACAACCCCAGAUAGAAAGAAAGAAAGAAAGAGAGAGAGAGAGAGGGAACUAGGAAAUAUUGCAAAAUGUUAACAAAUAGUGAAUCUAGGUAAACGGUAUAGAGAAAUCAUUGUACUAUUUUUAUAAAUUUUUAGUGAGACUGAGAUCAUUUCGAAAAAGGAUUUUUAUUUAAAAAGUUAUAUUAUCAGUUAAUAAGAUAUCUAAUAAAACAGAAAGCAAACAAUAAUUGCUCAUGAUAUAUAAUAAAAGGUAGAAAUACUUUUUAAAUGUCGUGGUUAAUACUGUGAAUUUAUAUUCAUGAGUACAUAUAUUAAUUUAAUAUUUCCACUGUAUCCCAAAAAUAUAAGCAUAUACAGUCAAUAAGCAACCAUGUGCAAGAAAUCUAAUUUCUAGAAAAACUGAAAGGAUGACCUCGAUAGCACUUUGGAGUAUCAAUUAUUCUCAGAGUAAGAAUUAUCACCAUUAAUAAUCAGAAAAUAAACAGUGGUUAUUAACAGUGAUACACUCAUACUAAGUGAAGUAAAUCAGAAAAGAGAAAGACAAAUACUAUACGAUGUCAUUUAUAUCUGGAAAAUAAUAUAUGGCACAAAAAUGAAUCUUUCCACAGAAAAGAAACUCAGGGACUUGGAGAAGAGACUUGUGGUUGCCAAAGGGGUGAGGGGUGAUGAACUGGGAGUCUGGGGUUAAUCAAUGCAAACUAUUGCAUGUGGAGUGGAUAAGCAAUGAGAUCCUGCUGUAUAGCACAGGGCACUAUAUCUAGUCCCUUAUGAUGGAACAUAAUGGAGGAUAAUGAGAGAAAAAGAAUGUAUAUAUAUGUGUGACUGGGUCACUUUGCUGUACAGCUGAAAUUGUCAGAACGCUGUAAACCAACUGUAAGGGAAAAAAUAAAAAUCAUUUAAAAAAAGAAAAUAUGGAAAUUCAAUACUUUUUAGAGAAAUAAAUUACCUUUUCAAAUAUUCCGCUUCCCUUAAAACACUGUAAGUCAAUUGAUACAUAAAAAUUAUAAAACAAUUAUGGUCUAAGAUAGUUGAGAAAAAAACAAAAUGUUCUCACUUAAAAUAACAGGUGUUCCUGCCAUGGCGCAGUAGGUUAAGAAUCCAACUGCAGGGGCUUGGGUUGCUGCAGAGAUGUGGGUUCAAUCCCUGGCCUGGGAACUUCCAUAUGAAGCAGGUUGCAGCCAUUUAAAAAAAGAAAAGAAAAGAACAGUGGACAAUUUCAAAGUAAAACUAAGGAUAUUAAGAAAUAGGAGUUUGUGGGAUUUAGUCUAUAAAUAGUUUGGGGAAAAUAGCCGCUUUGAAUAUGCUCUGCACACAUACUGGCAGAUCUGAUAAGAAUUCUAAGGUAUGAAGGGAAUUCAUUAAUGAGCUCAUCACAGCCUGAAUUAUUUUUAUAAGGUCUUGAAGAACUGAGAAGUUGCUAGGGGACUGAAAGAAAAUUAAUGUAAUUGUAUCUUUUAAAAGGUGAUUGAAGCAAUUAACAUCAAAUAAGUCACAAAAAAAAUAGCCUGCAACACAGAAGAAACCAGAGAAGAAAACUAUAUCCAAAGAAUGAUAGGUAACAUGUCCCUACCAAGAAAAGUUCAUGAGUCUUAAAAUAGGUUAGAAUUUCAAAGGGGAGUUCAUCAGCUGCUCCCCCUCAACUGUGAACUCCUUGGAGACAAGGGGAUGUCUACUCAAAUUUGAGUAAAACGCUAUAGAUAUUUAGCAAAUAAAUGGGAGUAAAGAAGGAAAAGGAAAAAAGGAAAGGAGGGAAGGUGAAUGGAUUAUUGAGGGAAAUGGAAUAUGUUAACUGAACAUCAAUGCACUACAGUGUGACUUACACAAAACACUUACUAACUCAUGAAUGGCUCAAACUAAAAAUAUAUGUAAAGCAUUAUGGUGACUAAGAAUGAUUAAGUAUGGUACUGAACAAAUUCACUCUGUUAUUCCAUGUUCAAUAAACAACCAGGAUAGUUCAGAAGGAAAAAAAAUAUGCUAUUGUUUCAUUGUUUUGUUUCUAGGAAGCAAUUCUAUUUGUGGAAAUGCAAUGGUUUUGAACCUGAUGACAGAAUAAGUUGUUUGCUUCUAGGUACUUUUACUAUAACUUGCCAUAGACUUCUGUGCUGCAAGCAUUUUUGCCACAUAAAUAAUUGGCCAUAAGGCAAUUUUGCCAUAAAAAGAAAACAAAAAACAGAAAGAGAACAUUAAAAAGUACAUACAAAAACAAAAAAAAAGUGAAAAAUAAAUAAGAAAAAAUUUUAAAGACUUUAUUGUGAAAUACAAAAUAUUCGAAUACACUUAAAAUGUGUGUAGAUUCAUGGCAAUAUUGCACAAAUAACUGAUUUUAUUUUGUGGGUUGUACCUAAGCACCUGUCUUGGAAUUCUUUCACUCGCAGGAUCACACAGUUGUUUUGUUUGUUGAUUUGUUUUCCUUGUUCAGCACUGAACUUUUUUCUUUUUGCUAAAACUUCUUCCUACAUUAAGAGAGGUAUCAGGAAAUUCCCUGGUGGUGCAGUGGGUUAAGGAUCCAGUGUUGCCACUACUGUAGGCUUGGGUUGCUGCUGUGGCGUGGAUUCAAUCCCUGUCCUGGGAACCUUUUUAUGCCACAGGCGAGGCCCAAAAAGAGAGAGAGAAGUAUCAGUUUCCAAAUAUUAGGAUGCAUAUUUAUAACUCGAGCUUUGAGUUGCAUUGUGAAAGCCUAUUUUGUACUGUUGUUUGUUCUUGGCAUAUUGUCAUUAUCUGUUGACAGAUGUCCCAAGGUUCAAUGGGAAAUGUGGAUUCAACUCUGUACCUUCUGGGCCCUCAGCCUCCUUCAGAUUUAUGUAAUAUAAAAACAGGAACACUAGAUCAAUGCUCCAGUUAGUGUAUAUUUUAUAGCAAAAUGGACUUAUGGCCAAUUAGUUAUGCAAAGAAAAUGCAGCAAAAAUGUUUGGCAAAAAAAUACCAAAUAUGAUUUUAAUUCAGUAUAGGAAUUAGCCCCUGGUCAAGAAAUAUAAACAAGAUAUAACUAAUAACCUCCAUGAUAUCUUGAGGAAUGAGGAAUAUAAACAGGUGACAGUGCAAGAAGUACAAGUUGCAAGAGUUUAAUACAGGACUCAAGUUUGACUUCCUGAAACAAUAAAUUCCUGUAUAAAGAGGAAGGUAAGGGUACAAAUAUUUGUCAUCUCACUUUCUGAAUGAUUAACAAACUACAUCAAGCCUCAAAGGAUAAAUGACAACAUUUUUAAUCUAAGAGCUCACUUCUGGAAUGAUCUACAAAUAAUUUGUAAAAGUCACCACAUCUCUAAGAUGUUAUAUUCUAUGCCCCUCUCAGGGAGAGAUUUAUCUAAGAUGCUGAGAGCAUUAUUUUACACUUGAUAUACAAAUAUCUCCAAAAAAAUGUUUGUCUUUUACCUUGUCUGUAGAGCACCAGGUAUACUCUGGACAAAAAAUAAUAAAGAAUAAAGAGAUCCUUAAAUCCCAAGAAUAAAUAACCAAGACAUCAGGACACAAGCUGCUGGCAAAACAUCCUACAAAUCUAUUAACAGCCUGACUGAAGAUAAUCAGAAUAAUCAGAUCAACUCAUUUCACAGCAUGAGCAGGGUUAUUUUGUAUAUACAGGGAUUAAAUAAGGAUCAUGAAAACCGACAAAAAGAUUUCUACUGUUGCCCUAUCCUUUCACAGCAAAACAUUUUUUAAAAUUUCAUUUGUCUUCAUUAAUUUUAAAGAAAGGCCUCUUUCAGUUGCUACUUGAAGACAAAAUAAUUUUGAUGAGAGUCCUAUUUUCCUCUAGAGAAGAGUCUCAAAACAGUCUUCCAGCUGAAAAAUUGAUAAUUUACAGUAACUCCUCCUUACUUUACACUCUUUACCUAGAUUUCUUAAAUUUAUUGGCGAGUUCAUGCUUCUUGAAUGGUUUCUGCAAUUGAAAGUUCCAGCCAAUGAAUAGAGAAGGCAGAGAGGAAAUCAUGAGAAUAAGAAAUUAGAGACAGGAAGUGAGUACUUGUAUAAUUUUACUUGUUCCAUCACAAUAGAAGCUCCCGCCCAAGCUCUGAAACAUCUUUCACUGACAAGGAUGAAAGACAUCAGCGGGUAGAUGACUAGCUGUUACACCUGCACUUGGGUGUGUUUGAAAUUACUGACUCAUUCAGCAAUGGUUCUCUGGUAGGCUUGAAACUCUUUGCUCUUCAACCUCAACUGACAAAGUGAUGAUGCUAAAUUAAAAAAAAAGAAAAAGAAAAGAAAGACACUGAUUGGAAUCAAAGGAAAAUUUUGCCAAUACCAAAAAACAAUUCCCCUUUGAUAGUUCACUAAUCCAACAGGAAGGCACUCCUUCCCACCCAGAAUUUUCUAUCUUUUAGCACAGCAUCUACUUUCUUCUAGUUUGAAAAUACAGUGUUUUCCUGGUUUUGAAACAUAAUCACUAUUUACAUUAAUUCUAAGAAGGGAAUUGGCUGCCUAAUUAUGAUAUUGAUGUUUUCUUUGUCUAAUUGGGUAGGUCAAGGCACUAAUUUGAUUCACAGCUGUGGCAUGUUUUUAUAGACUUUAGUGAACUUUAAUUGCUUAUAAAUAUUAGAUUAUAAGACCAUGAACCUUCAGUAGAAUCCUGUUCAGCCCCAUAUGCUUUCCAAUUUGACAAUAUGUUGCCCAUUUUCUAAGACUCCUUCAUUCCAAAUGGCCCUGAGGGCAAGAAAGAAAGAAAUAACACAUAUGGCUCACGUAGCUGAAGUCCAUUAUGAUUUUUGCUGUUGACAGUAUCUAAUGAGUUAUUGUCAGGAAAAAAGAUAUUGUCAAUAAGCCUUUUCUUCCAUAAUAAUAAAACUGAAAUACAAAGAUAGCACAGCUCAGUGCCCUGUAGAUUAAUUGUGAAAGUAUU